rnacentral:lncRNA from 1 species
CAGAAAUUAUAUUCUGUGUACGAGAGAAUGAGGAGUAUACUCAUGACUAAGCACAGGAACCUGGAAAACUACAGGCCUUGGUCAGGUGAUCCAUGGUGACUGAUCUGCCUACCAAGAAGGUACCUCAGCAGCCAGGUAAGAGAUAAGCUGCAUGCUUUUACAUGCAACUGGAGGGCAGGGGGUUCAAACAGCCUAGCAUUGCUUGAAUAGUUUAGAAAAAAUGCUCCUGGUUUGCUUUGGUGUA